rnacentral:rRNA from 1 species
GAUUCCGGAGAGGGAGCCUUAGAAACGGCUACCACGUCCAAGGAAGGCAGCAGGCGCGCAAAUUACCCACUCUAGAUACUGGGAGGUAGUGACGAGAAAUAAUGGGGGCACCCCAAAGGGGCGCCGUCUGUAAUGAACGAAACACAAAAGCGUCGGUGAGGACCUACUGGAGGGCAAGUCUGGUGCCAGCAGCCGCGGUAAUUCCAGCUCCAGUAGUGUAUAUCAACAUUGUUGCGCUUAAAACGCUCGUAGUUGGGUUGCAGAUCGUAGGGCUCCCGUUGUUUAUAGCGGGAGUCUAUUGUUGGUUUGAGGUGGCUCCCCCUCUUUUAUCAAAAUAAAAGAAARAACCAUCAAAGACCAUUACSUGAUUGUAUAUCGGGUGKAAAGUCAACUUUGAUUAGUUAACUUUAUCACGUCCCGGUAAAGUGUGCCUUGAGUAAAGCAUAAUGCUAAAAGUAAGCUGAGUGUAGCUAGAGUGUAAUAGCAUGGAACGAAUAAUGACCCUAGGGUGCAGCGACUCUUGCAAAAGAAGAGCUGAGCCCGUCUCGACCAUGACGCGAGGGGUCUAAAUGACCAAGAGGAAAGUUUGCGGGCACUCGUACUUUGGGGCGAGAGGUGAAAUUCUUAGACCCCCAAAAGACGGACUACUGCGAAGGCAUUUGCCAAAGAUGUUUCCGUUAAUCAAGAACGAAGGUCAGAGGAUCGAAGACGAUCAGAUACCGUCCUAGUUUUGACAGAAAACUCUGCCGGCGUAGGUGGGCGGCGAUCACUCGAAAAGAGACGAAUCACCGCGGACCUUAGGGGAAACCUGAGCUUUCGGGCUGCUGGGAGAAUAUUGCUGCAAGGCUGAAAUUUAAAGAAAUUGACGGAGAGGCACCACCAGGAGUGGAGCUUGCGGCUUAAUUUGACUCAACACGGGGAAACUCACCGGGUCCAGACAUUGGAAGGAUUGACAGAGUGGUGGAUCUUUCAUGAUUCAGUGAAUGGUGGUGCAUGGCCGUUCUUAGUUGGUGGAGUGAUCUGUCAGGUUUAUUCCGGUAACGAGCGAGACCGCGGUCUUUACUUGUAUUAUCCAGCGUCUCCCUUGCUCACUAGCGUGUUUAAGGACGGGAACUGUGUAAAUAAAUAAAGAGACAAUCGGUGCAAAGCCGGCGGAAGCGCGGCAAUAACAGGUCUGUGAUGCCCUGCGAUGUCCUGGGCUGCACGCGUGCUACAAUGGCAGGAAAAGAAGGCAGCUGGCCCGAGUGGGUUGGCGAAGCGCGAAUACCUGCCGCGAUGGGGACUGAGCCUUGCAAUUAUUGCUCACGAAAGAGGAAU